rnacentral:lncRNA from 1 species
AGACAAAGGAGAAGAGGUGAGAGGAGGCGCCAUCCACUAGGGAAUAAGCCAUGGAAGAAGGAGCUUCACCACCAAGAUGAGCCUUGGAUAAGAAGCUUGGAGAGGAUGCUUCAAUGGAGGAAAAGAAAGAGGGAGAGAAAGAGAGAGGGGGGAGCACGAAAUUGAAGGGAGAAAAAGGGAGAGAAGUUGAACUUUGAGUUGUGUUUCACAAGACUCUCAUUCAUCAAAGUUACAACAAGUGUUACACAUACUUCUAUUUAUAGACUUUGUAGCUUCCUUGAGAAGCUUUCUUGAGAAAACUUCCUUGAGAAGCUUCUUUGAGAAAACUUCCUUGAGAAGAUAGAGCUUAGCUACA